GAAAACUGAUCGGAUGCUUUAUUGGUAAGUGCUCUGGAAGCAUCAGAUCUAUAGCGAGACAUCCAGAACUUCCCAUGAUAGCAUCUUGUGGAUUGGACAGCUAUUUGCGUGUGUGGGAUGCAAAGACGAGACAACUUCUAUCUGCGGUUUUCCUCAAGCAACAUCUAACAAAUGUGGUGAUCGAUUCACAUUUCUCAG